GCUAGCCUCGGGAGGAACCCGACGAGACGCGCCGUACCGGGUCAGGACAAGACGACGCACC
rfam:Streptomyces lydicus strain 103, complete genome.